AAGAUGAAGUUAGCGAAAGAAGCAAAAGAAGGAUUCGGUUGAGGAAAGCCCAAAGAAGAGGGCAGUGAAGGAAUUAUCUAAACCUGAAAAGAUCCACAAAAGUCCAGCUCCCGGUAAAAAGGAAUUGGCCAGACAGAGAGCAGCUGCAGGAUCCAAAAGUAUCACCAGUUUUUUUAAAAAGAAAUAAUUUCAAAUAACUACACAGGGGGGGAUUUUUAUGAUCUAUUUGGUCAAUUAGUGUUCUGUGCUUUUAUAGAUUGUUUUUAUAAAUUUUAUUAUAUAUAAGU